GAAAUAAUAAAUUUUGAAUUUCUAAUUCAAAUUAAAAUAUUAAUUUAUUUUUAUUUCUA
rnacentral:tRNA from 1 species